AUUGAACGCUGGCGGCAUGCCUUACACAUGCAAGUCGAACGGUAACAGGUUAAGCUGACGAGUGGCGAACGGGUGAGUAAUAUAUCGGAACGUGCCCAGUCGUGGGGGAUAACGUAGCGAAAGCUACGCUAAUACCGCAUACGAUCUACGGAUGAAAGCGGGGGAUCGCAAGACCUCGCGCGAUUGGAGCGGCCGAUAUCAGAUUAGGUUGUUGGUGAGGUAAAAGCUCACCAAGCCUGCGAUCUGUAGCUGGUCUGAGAGGAAGACCAGCCCCACUGGAACGGAGACACGGACCAGACUCCUACGGGAGGCAGCAGUGGGGAAUUUUGGACAAUGGACGCAAGUCUGAUCCAGCAAUGCCGCGUGCAGGACGAAGGCCUUCGGGUUGUAAACUGCUUUUGUACGGAACGAAACGGUGAGCUCUAAUACAGUUUGCUAAUGACGGUACCGUAAGAAUAAGCACCGGCUAACUACGUGCCAGCAGCCGCCGUAA
rnacentral:rRNA from 1 species